rnacentral:rRNA from 1 species
AGCGAACGCUGGCGGCAGGCCUAACACAUGCAAGUCGAACGGACCCUUCGGGGUUAGUGGCGGACGGGUGAGGAACACGUGGGAACGUGCCUUUUGGUUCGGAACAACUCAGGGAAACUUGAGCUAAUACCGGAUGUGCCCUUCGGGGAAAGAUUUAUCGCCAUUAGAGCGGCCCGCGUCUGAUUAGCUAGUUGGUGGGGUAAAGGCUCACCAAGGCGACGAUCAGUAGCUGGUCUGAGAGGAUGAUCAGCCACACUGGGACUGAGACACGGCCCAGACUCCUACGGGAGGCAGCAGUGGGGAAUCUUGCGCAAUGGGCGAAAGCCUGACGCAGCCAUGCCGCGUGAAUGAUGAAGGUCUUAGGAUUGUAAAAUUCUUUCACCGGGGACGAUAAUGACGGUACCCGGAGAAGAAGCCCCGGCUAACUUCGUG